GUUCUAGAACAGGAAUUUGUAAUGGAUGGAGACAGUUUGAAACCAGCAGAUGAGGCAAGUAUUUCAGCAUCUCUAAAUGCCAAAUCUUUUACUUCCGCUGUUUGUUUGAAUCUGUAAAUAACCUUUGCCAAGGCUUAAUUCUAGAGACAGUAGGGGGAAAGAUACUACAGUAGGUUGUCUGGAGGCUUUUUAGAAAGCAGGCUUUACCAUGGGUUUACUGUGGGUUUGGGCAUAACAGAUACUCUGACCCCAAAAGAGGAUUUUUUUUUUUUUUUAAACUCUGGUCAUAAAUUGGGCUAGGUUCCAAUACGGAGGGGAAACCCAAAUUGUGUGUGAAGGGCUCUCUGAAAUAUCACACAGACUCCAGGGCAAAUCUGGCCAAUAGAAUAAAGUCACGGUAAAGCUGCCGUCUGAAAAAGCUCCUGAAGAAGAAUCUUCACCCUGGAAAUAGACAACUUGAACAGGAAACUAUAGACACAUGGACAACAAUAGGACAACAUUUUGGGAAUCAUCUGGAAAUGCUGGAAAAAUCAUAGAUUUGACCCAGUUUAAGAAAAUAAACUCCAAACAAAAAUUGUGAUACAAGCAGGAGAUGGCUUGAUUUGGUUUUCAAUCAAGAAAGCAACAAACUCAUAACAGGAAGUCUGAUGAUACUAAUCCUUGCACUGUUUCUGGAAGGAGAAAGUGUAAAAGAUCACAGGCAGUUACCACCAACAUGGAGAAAGAAAAGAAAAGUAAAGAAACUGUGUUGGGGAGAAUCUUAUAACAAGCAGAACAGGGGUCGUGUUACACAUCUUGAAGUUUGCAAACCGGCUACAAAUCUAAUUAUAUGGAGUUUGAAACAGGCUGGGCUGAGGCCAUUUUAAAGAUGCAUCUCAGUGUCAGCACCAUUGAUACAACCACAGACAUCACUUUCCUCCAUCCGAACAACCCCCUUCACUAACUACACUGCAGUUUACACCCAACACCUCCAGGCUGAUGGACAAAAUCCUGACAUUUUCCCCAGGCAUACUAUCAAACUCAUCUAUACCCUUACACACAUCAGUUCUUGAAAUCACCCAUGGAUGGAAACAAGCAACCAGCAGUCCUACGGUAACUGCGCUAAAACAUAACCUUGUUAACAACUCUAAGGCUGUUAUCUACAACUCUGGCAGCAUAGCAAACCAACAGACUCCCAAAAAUCUAGGGCAAUAGUGUGCUAAUGGGACAACAGGCUACAGAUUGCUGCCUCUCCAGUGGUUAUAGCCAUCACGAAGUGUAAGCAGCGACUGUGUGGUUAUUGGCCAUCUGUUUCAACCAUGUAUGGCCAAACUGGGGGGACAGUGAUGCACAGAUAACAGAGAAGAGCAUGUGUUCUUUUUCAUUUCUGCUUUCUCUAUCAUGAUUAACUUUAACCACCCCCUAGAACUUCAGCUGACAAAUUAUAUGCUCAACUAUGUGUUUGACAUUAAUUGGUAAUUUCAUCCUCUUCUGCAUUGUAACUUUGUUUCACAUCAUAAAUAUUAAAUGAGUUU